GGAAUCUUUCACAAUGGGCGAAAGCCUGAUGGAGCAACGCCGCGUGUGUGAUGAAGGGUUUCGGCUCGUAAAACACUGUUGUAAGAGAAGAAUGACAUUGAGAGUAACUGUUCAAUGUGUGACGGUAUCUUACCAGAAAGGAACGGCUAAAUACGUGCCAC
rnacentral:rRNA from 1 species